rfam:Aspergillus fumigatus A1163 ctg_000012, whole genome shotgun sequence.
AAUCUGUCAUGGAUAACCUAGUGGAAGGCCUGCCGCUAAGUCAGUAACCUUGCUGCGGCAUUUGCCAGCGGGAAAGGUGCCCGGUACGAAUCCUGGGGUCGUCGUUGUACUCGUGCGAGUAAUCCACGAUGCUACAAGGCGCUAAGCAAUGGAAGUGAAUCUUGAGGGAAGCAAUUCUGCAGAGACACUUCCACCCUGGGAUGGCGUCGCCGGAGGACACCUACCCGUUACAGGGAAGUUGGCUGUUUGGCUGGACAACCGCAAUCUUCUUUU